rnacentral:lncRNA from 13 species
AGGAAAGUCAUCUACUUGCACAGCUUUGAUUAUAAUUCAAACAGAAAUGACUCCCACGCUUAUCUCUCCAACUCAAAUCUCUCAUUUGAAUUCCAAAGGCAUUUUUUAACCACCAAAUCUACAGCUCCACAUAAAAAUCUCACAGACAGAUCAAACUUUGCAUGUCAAAAAUGAACCCGUGCUCAACCCACCACUUACUUGAUCUGUUGGAUUUUGUGUCUCAGUAAAUGGCAUCAUCAUCUGGAAGAAACCUGGAAGUCAACCACGACUCUGCUCCAUCCCUAAACACUCACUUAAUCAAGUCCUGUUGAGUCUACUACAAAAAAAUAUAUUUUAAAACCUUUACAUGGUUCCUUUCCACUACCCAUCAUCUCACUUCCUUUCAAUAAUCCCCUGUUUGGGGUUAAACUAUAUCCCUAAGAAAGAUAUAUUGCAGUCCUAAUCCACAAUGCCUAUGAAUAUGACCUUACUUAGAUAUAGAAUAUUUGCAGAUGUAAUCAGUUAAGAUGAGGUCAUCAGGGUGGGCUCUAUUCCAUUGUGACUGGGGUCUUUGUGGGAAGAGGAGAAGAGGCACUGAAGCAGACAUACAGGGAGAAGGUAAGGUGAAGACAUACAGGAAGAGCACCAUAAUGACAGCGUGAUGUGUCCAACAAGCAAGGAGUUUCAAGAAUUGAAAUCAACAUUGGAAGCUAAGAAAAGGACAUUGAACAGCUUUUUUCCUAAAGCCUUUAGAGAGAGCAUGACCUGCUGCAACCCCCAUCUUGAAAUGUCUACAUUUCUAAACAAUUCCGUGGGUAACCUUAAUCAUCCAAACCCUAAAACCUCAGAGUGUUGGAUUACAGUAAUCAGGAAUUAGGAUAAGAGGAGAAUGAAGGAAAAGGAGAGAGAGCAGAGACUCCAUGAAAGCCAGCAGAGGGUAGGGAAUAACACAACUUUGCCAGCUGGUUUUGAAAAUACUGGGAGUCUCACAUAUAUUCAAUUAUUUAUCAAUUAUUUCACACAUGAACCAAAUCAGUAAAGGGACUAACUUCUGCUCCUCAUACAUUCCUCAUGGUACACUCCCUCUCCUUCCCUCAGCUUUUGCUGUUGUUCUGCACUAGGGCUAUGUUCUUUUUUAAAAAAAAUGAUCUAAUUUAUAUAAUAAUAUUCUGAUGAUGGAGCAGAAAAUGAUGUGAUUUAUCCUAUAUUUUAUAAAAGCAUAUGAGUUUUGUGUUCUGUAAGAGACAGGACUGGCAAACACUUUUAAUAUUCAUUGUCUUUGGAAUUUACAUUUUAGAAAUCAUUUUCUCUCCUUAAUACCUUUUGCCUUUGUUCCUACAAACUAUGCCUAAAUGUGUUAAGGCAGAAACUCCCAAACUAUUACAGGAGAAAGAAAAAAAAAAAAAAAAAAACAGCUUGCAAGAAAAUAAUCAAAUGCUAGAGGGAAUAAAGUAAGCAAUCAUUAGUAAACCUGAAGCA